AACGCGAAGAACCUUACCCAGACUUGACAUGCAGUGGACAGAGCUAGAGAUAGCUUCUCCCUUCGGGGCCGCUGCACAGGUGCUGCAUGGCUGUCGUCAGCUCGUGCCGUGAGGUGUUGGGUUAAGUCCCGCAACGAGCGCAACCCUUAUCACUAGUUGCCAUCAUUUAAGGUGGGGACUCUAGUGAGACUGCCUAGGUUAACUAGGAGGAAGGCGAGGAUGACGUCAAGUCCGCAUGGCCUUUAUGUCCAGGGCUACACACGUGCUACAAUGGUCGGUACAGAGGGCUGCAAAACCGUAAGGUCAAGCAAAUCCCAGAAAGCCGAUCUCAGUUCAGAUUGUGGUCUGCAACUCGACCACAUGAAGUCGGAAUUGCUAGUAAUGGCAGGUCAGCAACACUGCCGUGAAUACCGUUCCCGGGCCUUGUACACACCGAGUAUA
rnacentral:rRNA from 1 species